rnacentral:lncRNA from 1 species
CGAUGCUCACCUCUGGAGCAGAUACUGACUUCUUUGGUGAGUUCUUUGGCUCUUGUGCUUGAUUCCACUCUCGCGCAAGCCUAAUCCCUCCUGAUGCGAUCUCCUCAGGUGGCAUGUUUCUGUCUUCGAAGAGGAGUUUGUUGCGAGCUGUCCAUAUGGACCAGAGGAUCCAGGGAAGGAUUGGGUUUUGAACUCCUGUCGGUGGGAGGCAUAGGGCUCUUCUGAACUUGACCAUCAUCGAUGUUAUUGUGUCCUCCGCAGAUAUGGGGAUCGCUUGUCUUAAGGGUACAGCUUCCCAAACUUUCCUUGCAAAAGUACAGUUGAAAAAUAUAUGCAUUACCGUUUCUGUUUUCUUACAUCUUGGGCACGUGAGAUCUGAUGUGAUGCCUCUAUUCUGCAGAUUCUCGCCAGUUGGGAGUGCUUUUUGGAUGGUGGACCAGAGGAAUACUUUGAGUUUAGGGGAGAAGAGUCCAGACCAAAUGUCUUUCACCCAGCGGAACUCUUGGUUCUCCUCUUGUGGUGUGUGCUGAUGUUUGAGUGCUGAGGCUGUAGAGUAUCCUGAUUUGGCGGAGUACACUCCUGAUUGCAGAGGUUGCCAAACAAAGAUAUCUUCUGCUCCUUUGGUGCUUGGUCUUAUGGUUUGAAUCUGUGACGCCAACGACGGUAAGAUUUCUUCUAGCCUUUUUCGAUUCCAUUUGAGGUCUGAUGUGAGGAGGUCUGAGACCCGCAAAUUUCAACAGUUAAAUAGUUUACGAAUAUGCUCAUUGUAAAGAGUUAAACAUGUCCAUUGUAUGCAGUCUUGCACUAAGUUUUGAUUCUAGGCAGAAACGAAAACGCCGUGUGUCUCUCAGUUUGUCCCACACGCAUUUUCUACAAAAGGUGUGAAUCUCUCUCCCACCACAAAUUUUCCAUUUUCAAUUUGAUACUUAAUUAUGAUAGAUCAGUUGAAUUUGGAAUGGUAUAAAGUAUUGAAUAAAUGUGUGUGUGUUUGCGAAAAUGAUGGGCAUUAUAUAAGGGAUGGUUAAAUACAAAAGAUAUUAGGUUUUAUACUUUUUGAUGUUUACUUGUUGGUCAUGUUACUUUCAUUCCCCUUUUCAGCGUAUAUAUAUGAAGAGUCAAAA